GGUUAAGCGACUAAGCGUACACGGUGGAUGCCCUGGCAGUCAGAGGCGAUGAAGGGCGUGCUAAUCUGCGAUAAGCGCCGGUAAGGUGAUAUGAACCGUUAUAACCGGCGAUACCCGAAUGGGGAAACCCAGUGUGAUUCGUCACACUAUCAUUAACUGAAUCCAUAGGUUAAUGAGGCGAACCGGGGGAACUGAAACAUCUAAGUACCCCGAGGAAAAGAAAUCAACCGAGAUUCCCCCAGUAGCGGCGAGCGAACGGGGAGGAGCCCAGAGCCUGAAUCAGCAUGUGUGUUAGUGGAAGCGUCUGGAAAGGCGCGCGAUACAGGGUGACAGCCCCGUACACAAAAGCGCAUAUGCUGUGAGCUCGAUGAGUAGGGCGGGACACGUGGUAUCCUGUCUGAAUAUGGGGGGACCAUCCUCCAAGGCUAAAUACUCCUGACUGACCGAUAGUGAACCAGUACCGUGAGGGAAAGGCGAAAAGAACCCCGGCGAGGGGAGUGAAAAAGAACCUGAAACCGUGUACGUACAAGCAGUGGGAGCCCCACCACUAAGCCAGUGGUGAACUCCACAUACGCAUCCUUUGCUGAGGAGACGGUUAACGGAGCGAAAGCGACGUUCAACCUCAAAAGAAGCAGAGGGGGCUUAGUGGUGGGGUGACUGCGUACCUUUUGUAUAAUGGGUCAGCGACUUAUAUUCUGUAGCAAGGUUAACUGUAUAGGGGAGCCGGAGGGAAACCGAGUCUUAACCGGGCGUUAAGUUGCAGGGUAUAG
rnacentral:rRNA from 1 species